UACGUAGGGACCAAGCGUUGUUCGGAUUUACUGGGCGUAAAGCGCACGUAGGCGGCUUUUUAAGUCAGGGGUGAAAUCCUGGAGCUCAACUCCAGAACUGCCUUUGAUACUGAGAGCUUGAGUCCGGGAGAGUGAGUGGAACUGCGAGUGUAGAGGUGAAAUUCGUAGAUAUUCGCGAAGAACACCAGUGGCGAAGGCGGCUCACUGGCCCGGUACUGACGCUGAGGUGCGAAAGCGUGGGGAGCGAAGAGG
rnacentral:rRNA from 1 species